UUAGGAAUAUUGGGCAAUGGAGGAAACUCUGACCCAGCAACGCCGCGUGAAGGAAGAAGGUUUUCGGAUUGUAAACUUCUGAUCUGAGGGAAAAAGAAAGUGAUGGUACCUCAGGAGAAAGCCACGGCUAACUACGUGCCAGCAGCCGCGGUAAUACGUAGGUGGCGAGCGUUGUCCGGAAUGACUGGGCGUAAAGGGAGCGUAGGUUGCGAUUUAAGUUAGGUGUGAAAGCCCAUGGCUCAACCAUGGAAGUGCAUUUAAAACUGGAUUGCUAGAGUACAGGAGGGGUAAGCGGAAUUCCUA
rnacentral:rRNA from 1 species